rnacentral:misc_RNA from 1 species
UUUCCGUAGGUGAACCUGCGGAAGGAUCAUUAUUGUAUAACCGAGGUGCGAGGGCUGUCGCUGACCCGACAGGUCGUGCACGCCCGAGUGCCCUCACACACAUCCACCUCACCCCUAUGUGCACCACCGCGUGGGUCCCCCUUUGGCUUGUUCGGAGGGGGGCUUACGUUUUCACACAAACUUUGUAUGCAGUGUAGAAUGUAUUUUUUGUUUUUGCGAUCACGCAAUCAAUACAACUUUCAACAACGGAUCUCUUGGCUCUC